rnacentral:SRP_RNA from 1 species
GCUGAGUCACACCAGUAGUGUAGUCCCAGCUGCUGGGGAGGCUGAGGUGGGAGGAUUGCUUGAGCCCGGGAGUUCUGGACUGUAGUGCACUAUGCUGGGUGUCCUCACUAAGUUCAGAUCAAUCUGGAGACCUUUGGGUGCGGGGGCACCAGGUUGCCAAGGAGAGGUGAACCUGAACCUGCCCAGUCGGAAUGGGAGCAGGUUAAAAUCCCUGUGCUGAUCAUUAGUGGGCUCGCGCCUGUGAAUAGCCACACUGCACUCCAGCCUGGGCAGCAGAGGGAGAUCCCCUCCACUU